AGAUUGAACGCUGGCGGCAUGCUUUACACAUGCAAGUCGAACGGGCUGUUGGGGCAACCUGGCAGUCAGUGGCGGACGGGUGAGUAAUGCAUCGGAACGUGUCCCGUAGUGGGGGAUAACCCGGCGAAAGCCGGACUAAUACCGCAUAUGCUCUACGGAGGAAAGCGGGGGACCUGAAAGGGCCUCGCGCUAUGGGAGCGGCCGAUGUCCGAUUAGCUUGGUUGGUGGGUAAUGGCCUACCAAGGCGACGAUCGGUAGCUGGUCUGAGAGGAUGAUCAGCCACACUGGGACUGAGACACGGCCCAGACUCCGUACGGGAGGCAGCA
rnacentral:rRNA from 1 species